UCGAGCACCUGAGACGCAGUCUAUGGUGUCGACGGCACUGGCGCAAUUAUCACCCCUGGAUCCAUUAAUCCUGAUAGUCCGCUGCAGGCCGCAGCGUGCGCCCCGCCGCUCGCAUUUUGGGUGGUUUGGCUCGAAGAAUCCGCGAUGCCGUCUCGUUGGGAGUUGGAACUUGGGACUUGGGAGAAGGACGGCGCCGCGGCGAGUCUGCAGGCUUGCUCGGGGUUGCUGUCCACUGUCCUGAGUAUCCUUUGUGGCUCCGAUUCCGCUUGUCUGCUUUGCCGGUGGGAUGUUCUUUUAUUGCCCUACUGAAGGAAGAUUUCAAGUUCAACCAUGUAGUGAAGAUCUAUUGCCAUGCAAAAUUGAAUACUAAAGCUUGGUCUCUGAAGUGUCAGAGAGAAGAAGAGGACUAAAGGCAAGGGUGAUCUAUAGUAACAUGUCCCUAUGUAUCGGGAUCAGCACUGCAAAACAGAAAGUUUAGGGAAGGUAAAAAGAAAAGGAAAGGU